AGCAAUUAUACAGCGAAACUGCGAAUGGCUCAUUAAAUCAGUUAUCGUUUAUUUGAUAGUACCUUACUACUUGGAUAACCGUGGUAAUUCUAGAGCUAAUACAUGCUAAAAACCCCGACUCACGAAGGGGUGUAUUUAUUAGAUUAAAAACCAAUGCCCUUCGGGGCUCUUUGGUGAUUCAUAAUAACUUUUCGAAUCGCAUGGCCUUGCGCCGGCGAUGGUUCAUUCAAAUUUCUGCCCUAUCAACUUUCGAUGGCAGGGUCUUGGCCUGCCAUGGUUACAACGGGUAACGGAGGGUUAGGGCUCGACCCCGGAGAAGGAGCCUGAGAAACGGCUACUACAUCCAAGGAAGGCAGCAGGCGCGCAAAUUACCCACUCCCGAUUCGGGGAGGUAGUGACAAUAAAUACUGAUACAGGGCUCUUUUGGGUCUUGUAAUUGGAAUGAGUACAAUUUAAAUCCCUUAACGAGGAACAAUUGGAGGGCAAGUCUGGUGCCAGCAGCCGCGGUAAUUCCAGCUCCAAUAGCGUAUAUUAAAGUUGUUGCAGUUAAAAAGCUCGUAGUUGAACCUUGGGCCUGGCUGGCCGGUCCGCCUCACCGCGUGCACUGGUUCGGCCGGGCCUUUCCCUCUGGGGAACCUCAUGGUCUUCACUGAUCGUGACGGGGAACCAGGACUUUUACUGUGAAAAAAUUAGAGUGUUCAAAGCAGGCCUAUGCUCGAAUACAUUAGCAUGGAAUAAUAAAAUAGGACGUGUGGUUCUAUUUUGUUGGUUUCUAGGACCGCCGUAAUGAUUAAUAGGGACAGUCGGGGGCAUCAGUAUUCAAUUGUCAGAGGUGAAAUUCUUGGAUUUAUUGAAGACUAACUACUGCGAAAGCAUUUGCCAAGGAUGUUUUCAUUAAUCAGGAACGAAAGUUAGGGGAUCGAAGACGAUCAGAUACCGUCGUAGUCUUAACCAUAAACUAUGCCGACUAGGGAUCGGACGGUGUUACUUAUUGACCCGUUCGGCACCUUACGAGAAAUCAAAGUC
rnacentral:rRNA from 1 species